GACCUCAAAUCAGGUAGGAUUACCCGCCGAACUUAAGCAUAUCAA
rnacentral:rRNA from 1 species